rnacentral:lncRNA from 9 species
UGAGACCUUUACUCUUGCAUGGAUUGAUGAGACUUGGUGGGAUCAGAGGAAGGGAAGUAUGACUUCAGUGAGGGGAGUGUGAGCUCUGGUGGCAGAUGAGAGGUGACAACCAGGUCUCUAGGAGCCUAUCUGGAAUGUGAGUGGAGAGAAGCACCUCUGAGCUCCUGUCCAGCAGAAGUGCAGCAUUUUUUUAUGUGUGCCUGGGGUCUGAUUGGAGAAUAAAAUGAAAACUUUGUAGUCCAAGGCAGCUUUGUGGAUCAGAUGCUGUGGGCUGAAUCCUUGAAGAGGACAAGUCCAAGAGGCCCUCGGAAGAUGGAGAUUUUGAUAUUCUGUACUUUGCCAAGCAACGGAAACUUAACUGUCAAGAGCUAUGCCCUGGGAACCAGUCACAAUGUGCAAUGAUGCCUGUAGAAAAUGGCCGGGAGGCCUGGAAAUCUAAGAACCGAGUUCAGUUUCUGCAGCCUCCUUUGCUUUCGAAGAACACCAUUGAAGGCGGUGUCCAGUCAACACUCUAAAACAGUUAGAAUUGCUGCAGAUGAUACGGGAAUGAACUGUGCAAAAAGCACCAUAGGCUCAAAUAGACACACCGGUCUCUGGAAUUGGAAUUCAGAUGUCCUCUCUUGUGGUGCUUGGGACAAACGUGGUAUCACAGGAAGAUGAGAAAAGCACAGUCCUCAUGGUGCCUUAGUUGAGUCAAUCUUCAGCAGGGGCAGAGUGAAGAUCUGUGGCAUCUAGGGACAUGGAAAGAGGUAUCAAACAGCCAGGCUUAGCCUGGGAGGGAAAUGAACUCUCACAGAUCACCUAAGAUACCUGUAUUGUCCUCUACCAAGAAGGACUCAGGCAUUGAUAUACACAUGCCUUGUUUUUAGAAUGAUCAAGUUUACAUGGACAGUAAAUUCUUAAUGAGCCAGCAAGACAGUGUGAUGUCCAGUUACAGGACAAUGGAUGUUGUGAUUUGGAGAUUUCUUUCAUAUUUGUCUUUCUGUACCAUUCCUAGCUACCAAGAUAUAUUUAUGCAAGCUCAGUUAUCCCUUUGUAAACAAAAUUAAUUCACUCAAUCAGAAGUAAGCUUUGCUUGGGGCAUAAACAAAACAAAUCUAAAUUCUUGCCCUCAAGGCUCAUACAGUCUUGUGGGUAGUCAGGGAAAGCACAAAAUAAGGUAUUUCCCCCAUCCCCUAUGUCUUUUUUUGUUUUUGUUUUUUGGCUGCACCUGUGGCAUGUGGAAGUUCCUUGGCCAGGAAUGGAACUCUCGCCACAUUUGUGACCUGCGCCACAGCUGCAGCAAUGCCAGAUCCUUAACCUGCUGUGCCACAAGGGAAUUUAUUCCUUAUAGGGUAUGAUAGAUGGUUAUAAGUUUUGUAAAAGGAAGACAAGAGGGGCAUAGGGAGUUUCAAGGGGAAGGUUGCAUUUGAUUGUCUUGAAAUAACCAGACAUCUGGCAGUACUCAAACAUAAUUUUGGAUGUCUGGGUGAUUAUUUUCAGUUAUCUUGCAGUUAUUCAGUUCUUUUAAAUAAUAAUAUUCUUAGAUUUGUAUAGUGCAGUAUAAUUUUCAAAGCAUUUUCAUAUCUAUUAUUUCCAUAGACUGUGCCUCUGCCAAUUUCACGUAGAUAAGCAGUUUGCUCCAUUCAGGCACAGACUUGAAGUAUAUUAAACUUGGACUUUACAAUGCAUUUAGGUGAUUUACUGGAAAAAUGCCCCUUUCCAUCUUAUGAAUGUCUUAUGGUGAACUGCAUCAGUCUUCCCCUCAGGAAAUGGAAGAGUUAGAUGUCUCCCAUUGGCCUUGUGGACUCUUGAGAAGCCCUGGAAUGAGGAGGAGGUGUUGAACACAGGAGCAUGUUGGUGAUUGUCACACUGCCUGGGAUAUUUGUGAGCAUAGCCCCACUCCUGUCAUGCAUGUCGAUCAUGUAAGUGACAGAAAGCCUUUGCAAACCAUCCUUGUCACCUGUGUAGGGAUACUCUGCAAUCAUUGUCACACCCAGGCCCAGCACCCCAUCUGCUACUUGGCUGUAUGUUUCUCCUUGGGGGCCCUACUUCCACAUCAUUUCAUUUGGUCUGCAUGAAGCUCAGCCUCCUCUGCCUGCCCCUUCUAACCUGGCUUUGGCCCUUGUUUGAGGAUUCAGUAGAUCCCCCCCCCCCCACAUUUAUAAAUCUGCUGUUUCUUCCUGUCCUUUCUUCCAGUUACCUCUGGGCCAGUUCAGGACUUGUGAACUCUGAACACAUGUCUGAAUAAUUGUACUGAUCUUCUCUCUGGUCACUUCAAUUUCAGUUUUAGUCUCAGCAUUCUCCUCUUAUUCAGCCUCUCAUCUUUUGUGCUCUGAUGAGACCAGUCUGAAGAGUCCUUGCAGGUCCCAGUUCUCCAUGAGCUUUGCUUAUGGCUCCUCCCACCAGUCUCCCAUGAGAAAAACCAGUCCCCCUUCUCUUGCUCUCUCUGACUCAUCCAUCAGGCUCUUGCUCCAAUGCAGCCUCCUCAAAGAUAGGCUUGUCAGAUAAAAUACAGGAUGCACAGUUCAAAACGCAUUUCAGAUAAGCAAAUAUGUUUUCACUCUAUUUCUCUAAUAUUGCCUAGGACAUAAUAAAAAAAUUAUUGCUUGUCUAAAAUUCAAAUUUUACUAGGC